UUGAAUAAGCAUAAUUUGCCUUGGGUUAGCGUAACGUCUCUCCAAAGGCUCACAAAACCCAAAACCGCCACGAAAUAGCCCACCCCACCCACAACCCGCCCCUCCUCACUCCUCCUUACCAUUGUAGUACCAAGUUUCCAUGCCCCCAAAUCUCACCUUUCACCAACUCUCCUUCUACCCCUCUCUCUCUCUCUGUCUCACUCCAAGAAACGUCACUGUGUUUGCUGGAAAAAUUACCCCUUUUUUUCAUUUUCCAUAGCUUUCUUGGUCUAGAUUAGCAAAAGAACCUGCAUUGUAUCAGCUCAUCUCUGCAGAAAUCUUGAGAAAAUGUGGCAUCUUGCAAAAACCCAUUGUGGGAUUUUGAGUUAUGCUGGGAUUUCGUGAUCUUCUUACAGGGUUUUUGUGCCAUGGAGAAGCAAAAUAGGCUUGUCGAUAAGUCACAUUUUGGUGUGAAAAGACAAUGUGAAGGGUGAAAGUUUGAGUAUCUGGUGUCUGAACUGUGUGUAUAUGUUUGUGUGUGAUGAUGGUGGCUGCUGUUUCUGGUGGAGGAGGAGCAGCUUCAACAACUGGCCCACAAAACCCCAAAACAAUUUCUCGAGAUGAGACUCAAACUCACCAAAGAAGACCUCCACUGCUGCCUUCUGAGAAGGAUAAUAAUGGUAUUGACAACCCAAAAAGGCCUAAAUCAAGAGUUGUUUCUUCAAGGUUUUGAUUUUAUUGACAAAUUCCGAUGCGUUGGCAACGUGGGUAUUAUGUAAUCUUCUAUGGGUGAGGAGAUUCCUUUCUGCAGGCAAGGCAUCUAUUGUUCUUGUUUUUUGCGAGGCAAACUCUGCUUCUGAUAAACUUGCAGCGCUUGAUUUACGUACAAUUUUUUUCUUCAGUUUUUGAGCUGCCGCUGGCUGUAAAGGCAGCUUCGUUUCUAGAUAGUUUGCAGGUACCUUUUACUAGGGCAUAUAAUGUAAAGGAGCACUGCUCCUUAUUUAUUUUUAUUUUUAUUUUAUUAUUAUUAUUUGUUGCAUUCUGAUGAGGUCAGGCCUAGCCCUACUCAUGCUUGUACCUUUCUUUGGUGUUUAAUAAAAUUUGGACUGACAUUCUACUCCA